CAACUGUUUAACCUAGAACCAGUUUUACUUUGGGAACUGCAAGUAUUCCAUAUUGCUGGUUGCACUUUAAAAUAACUGCAUGAUGCUUUAAAUUUUCAGUUUGAGUUGAGAAACAGUUGAUCUAGCUGCAGGUAACUUUAAUCUGCUGUGGCAGGUUGCAUUUUGUUUCUGUAGCUGUUGGAGCUGCAGUGUCAGAAAUAAAAAGAAGUAUUGCUGCUUAUAUUCCAUACUGCUUACCAAUUACAUAUAUUCAGUUUUUUACUUAUUUUGCUGAUGGUAUUAUGUAGAAUUUACAGUUGUUUAAACUUUUCUUCACUGACUAUUGAGAUUCUGCUUACUGAUGCAGAAGAACAGGGUUCACUAUUCUCACUGGCUUUUGAAUUAGUGGUCAUGAAACCUGCUAUAUGGAAAAAGAAGGCAGAAGAAAGCAGUAUAGGGAGUUUUCCUCCCAACACUCAGGUCACUGUGAAAAUACAUUGCAGAGAUUCCUUUAUUUGCCUGAAGGAGAUGAGAGCAUCAAUUAUAGGAUUCCUUACUGUCUUCAGUGUUUUCACAAAUAGAAGUACCAAUGCCUUUCCUGACUUCAUCUAUAGCUGAAGAUCAUCAACAUAAUUGUUCUUGUGUCAUCACAGCCGUAAUUUCUACCUGCUCCAACUAGAAGAAUCUCAUCAUAGCCUGCGCUUGAGGUAAAUCUGCAAACUCUACAAUUCAGUGACUGAGAAGCUGUUGUAUAUUCAGCUGCUUAAGCUGGCCCAACAUGCCAUCUCAGUAGAGUGAAUCAUUUCUGCUGAUUGAUGUGAGGCACCAAAAAGCGUCUCCUGUAAGAGGGAUUUGGGUACUUUAGAAGGUCUAUUCUGGACCUCUUUGCUUUUCUAAAGAUUUAAAAGAAAGGUAAAGGAGUAUUUAUUAGCAUCACUCAUCGCAGAAUGCAGAAAGAUGUAGUUGUUUCAGCCUGAAAUACAUAUCUAUGUAGGAAUCAGACUAGUAUUUUCGAUAGCUAGAACACAAAAAUUACCAGCCUCUUUCUUCAGAGUCCAAAACAAGUCUUUUUAAGGGAAGAAAGAUGUAUGAAAGGAUAAAAAUUAAAAGUAAAGGGUUCUCUCUUUGUUGAAAAAGGAGCGAUGCUAUGACCUUGACGUAAGGGAAGGAAUUUAAAAACACGUUAUUCCUAACAGGAUGUUUCAGAUUGAUCUUCCAGAAACUGUUUUGUUGUUCAGCUAUUUCCAUGAGGAAAAAGCCAAUAGACAAAGCCAUUAUGAUUUUUUUUUCCUUACAAUUUGACAUUGGAUCUUUGUCCCUUCUGCUGAACUGCUACAUGAAAGGAAUAAGACCAAAUAACCUCUCAUCUACACCCCAGAAACUUCAGUAGGUGAUCUGGAGACUUUUUCCAGUGAAUAGGAUCUUAUCUUUGACUGGUAAAAGAGGAUUUCUUAAAGGCAGCCUUUGAUAUUACAGGUCAUGGUCCUGGAUCAUGCUGCUUCAUCUGGGUUGAUUUGCUCAGAUACCUUCUGUUGCUUUGAGCUGGAAAAGAAUAUUAACUGGAAGUGUUAGUAGUGUUUGUAGACUUCAACAUACCACCUGAAAUGAAGCCUAUAAUGCUGUAUAUGUCACUGUAGUUAUGAACUGUAAGUAACAAAUGUUAGUUCAUGAGAUUCAAGGUAUUGCAAGUUAUCUGGUGAAAAGAAUCUUCCGUUCACAUGGGAAUGUUAAGAAGAAAUGUGCUUUUAAUGAUACCCUCAUUUUAUAACUCCUUAGCCAGCAAGUACAGAGCAGUAGAAAUUUACAUGGAACAUGUUCUGUUUAUUUUCUUUUCAUUGUUUAUCCCCUAUAUUACUAGAAAAGGGGAGUAUAAAAUAUCAUGCUGGAGACAUCUGUUGGCUAAGUACAUUUAAAUGUGUGUUGGUCAGUUAAUUCUCUCCAAACAGGAAGACCUUCCUUCACAAAAACAUGCAUGUGAGGAGACUGAACCUGACUCUUAGACCUUUCUUUAACUGUUGUAAGUUGAUCUGAAUCAAAAAGGCAGUGUUUCAUCAAAUUGAAAGGUCUUGUGUUGUUGAAAAGUCAUGGAAUUCCAUUAAGACAAAUAAUCUUAUUUCUAUAAAAUAAUCUUGCUAUUUAGAGCAAAACUUCUUACGUUAGGUUGAGGCACUGUCACCAUAUGCAAUGUCCCCAGUGGAACCCAGAAGCAGAGUGUAUUUCUGCAUGCCAAGCAGUUUCUUUGGAAGAAACUUGCUGAUUUUUCUGUUUUAAUUACUGUCAUGUAUCAGGUUCUGUCCUUGAAGACUUUUUGUCACCUGUUUUGAAAAAAAAAAAAAAGGAAGUUUUCUUGCCUACUACUCUGACAGCAGAAAUUAAAAAUGCGUUUAAAGAAAACUAUUAUUGCUGUGUUUUUAAUGACAGAAUCUAGCAUAUUUCCCCCCCAAAUGUCUCCUUUUAUUAUUUGAACCACAAUGAAGGGAAGUUGUUUUUGAGGAGGGAAAAAGCUGAUAAUGAAAGGACAUGCAAGAUACCUAACUAUAAGACUAUUUUGUUUAGGUGUGUGCUCUAAAGGAGAGGAUGAAGAAAUCCCAUCAGAAUUGUCCCCAAAUGAACUGUGUUAAAUUGCAUAAUGAGGAACAUACUUUCUUGGUUAACUAUUGGAUCAUACUGUAACUGGUGUCUUCAGAGCAAUGAAGGCAAAUUGAUAGUGCCUCAUACGAUGCAUACAGCUCAACAGCUACCCUACAUGCAAACACUAGCCACUGCUGCUGUUGUGCAUAAGGUAUUGUAAUGGGUAAUAAUAAGUAAACACAUACAUGAGAGGCUAUACGUAUAAUUGUGGUUUGGGUCCAGUGACUUGUAGUUCUUUUCUGUCGUGUGUUGGCUCUAUGCUACUGAUAAAAUUUCACACGAAUCUAUCAGCUUUUGGGCUCUGUGAAGAGAAUUUCAGCUCUUGGGCAUUAUAUUUUCAUUGUUCAAGUAAUUACAAUUAACUCCUAAGAUCAUCUAGGAAAAAGAGAAAUAUUCCAGCAACUUGGGUAGGUUCUUAGCUCCCACAGCAAUGAUAAUGCGCCUAGGUUAGGUCAGAGGUUGUCACAAGAGCAUUGAACUGCCAUUGGUGUUUAAUCAAUCUGAUUUUUCAACUAGAGUAGAAGACCUGAAAUUGGAGUAAGGCCUUUGCAGAAGAGCUGGGGGUGGGAUUAGGAAGUCAUGGGUAAAGGAAACAUUCAGGUAAGUAUGAUUAUUUCUUCUUAAGGAGAUUAUGGGGAGACAUUCACUGCAUUCCAAUAGAUGCCAUUUUUAAUUCACUUGAGAGAAAGUGAACAGAGGAGAGAUUUGAAAUUUUUUCUCUCUCUUCUUUUUUUUUUUUUUUUUUUUAAGAAAUGAGCACUUAAUUCCCCCCCACCUACAUCUACUUGUAACAAACAGAACUUUCUGGACGAAACAUCUUACGAUUGCUCUCAUCUAUUGGUAGAUGUCUUAAAAGUCUUGAAAGUUCACAGCUCAGCACUUUGGUUUUUAUUUUCUUGGCAUCAAAGCAUGAAAAAACUGCAUGUCUAGUACUCAUCUCUUGUCAUCCUCCCCUAUUGCAGUGACUAUGUGUGUGUCUCUGUGUGGCAGGAAAUGAGGGAAUGCAGAUCAUUACUCAAGAAGUUACCAACUAGCACUUUUCCUUCCCCUCCAGUCUUUCUGCCUCCCUAUCCUGGAAGUAUGGAGUCCCUGCCUCAGCCUACGGCUUCAUUCUUUUUCCAGCUGCCCACAAAAGUAAAGAACCAGUGUGAGAGUUUGAAGAAAGAAUCCGCUCAGAGGACUGAGUCUCAAGCGAAAGCUCCAGGUUGCAGACUCAGAAAGAAACUUCCUUUGGGGAAGGAUCUGCUUCCAGGAUUUGCUCGUCUCUUUUUCCUUGGGCAAACAGAGUUCUUGAAGCAAACAACAGGGUUGCAGGACAUCUUCUAACCUUUAUACUGCAUCACAAGCCUUCAGCAGAAGAUCUUGAGAGCCAUUUAUGUUGCUGGAAGAUGACUGGGUUUGGAUCUUGGCCUUCCUUAAGCAGGAUCUUCUGACAAAAAUGGGAUUGGGAAAGAAAUGACUCCUUUUUCCAUCAAACAGAGCUGCCCUAGAAAUGGAGGCCUAGGCAGAAAAUUACUUCUAAUGCAUCAUUCUUUAGGAGAUUUGUUUGGCCUUCCACAAUCCUUCUGUUGCCAUGUCAUAAAGAUGUCUUUUAUAAAACCUAAACCUGGCAUCUUCCUAUCUGAAGAUCCAGUCAAUAAAUCUAAGUUUAAGAGUGUACAGGUCUAAUGCAGUCAGAGCAUGCUGUCUCCUACAUAGGAGAUGCCCUAUGGAUCUGUGAAAUAGUGUUCUCCUGUGGUUCAGAGUGUUAUAUCUGUAAAACCUAUUCUGCUUAUAGUCCAUUUAAAUUAUUAGAAAAAAAAUAAAAAGCUUCUUGUGAAAAUGGUAUUUAAUUAAGCCUCAAACUCUCCAAGUUUACUUAAAAACAAGUGAGCCAAAAGUGACAUAAUGGGCAAUAUGGGAAGUACUGCAUCUUCUGAGGUUUCCUGUGGGUUUGUGUCAAGAGAAAGUAUGUUGAAAGUGUCGAGAGCUGUGAAAGUGGAAAAAAACUUAGAUUUUGCUUUAAGAGUGAAAAGUUAUUUGUUAGAAAGCAGAAAGGUUUUAAUUUCCCCCCUCUAAGGGAUUCUGUACUCAAAUGCCUUGCAAGAUCUCAAAUAAAAACCUUAUGUUUGGCAGUAGUGAGCAACACACGCAUACGCAUGCCUGUGUACUUUGUUCAUUUUGCCAUUGGAAAUUAGUUUUGAAGAACAGGACUGACUUCUAAUGUUCAGAUUAGGAAAGGGGAAAGCUUUCUUCUGAAGCUGAGUGUGAGAAGAGGUGGCAGGAGGGUGACCUGGGCCCACUGGUAGUAGGUAAAGUGCACUUUUGUUUUCCUGUUUUCUGCUUCUGGCAGUUGGAGCAGACUAGUCAGAUGCUUGUGCUUGAAUCCAAGUAGCUUCCUAAAUCAGUUACCACAAACCAUUUAUUUAUUUAUUUAUUUAUUUAUUUAUGUUAACUAAUGCCUAGAAGUCUCAUUAAAUGCACCAGCCUAUUUAGUUGAGCAGUCUUAACAUAGCCCUGAGGCUACUGCUUCAUGGCAGUUGUGACUUCUUACUGUGCUGGAAUGCAUUGCAGUCUUAGUACAUUCUAAAAAUAAUUGUUCAGAUGAUGCUGUUUAAUUGCAUACUUACGUAGUGAGCCAUUUUCACUGGACUUUUUAAAAUUUGGGCUCUGUUGGAUGGCUUUUUAAUACCCUAUUUUUAUUCCCUGUGAAUAUCCAACUUCUUUGUCUUGAUGCUUCUGGGGUUAUCGAGUAAAAUGCUAAAUUUAUAACCUGAUAUUUUUAGAAAACUGAUAGAGGUAUGUGUUAAACUAUGCAACCGCAGUAACACUUGUGAACUUUGAAGUUUAAAGAGAAAUCACUUUAAUGUAUCAAAUUCAAUACUUUUUUUUAAUGUGUGGAAAUAUGUUCGUGAUGACCUUAAAACUGAGUAGUUGUUACAGGUAUAGACAUGGAUUGUGUGCUGAGCAUGAGUAACCUAGAAGUUAGAAGCUGGAUAUAUGCAAGUCUUGGAAAUAAGUACUGCUGUCUGUGGGAGAGAUCUGUGUCAGCAGUGCUUUUAGUUGCGAAUACCUGUUUUUCUAACUUCUUGCCCAUUUAAAGUCUGGUAUCUUUUUUUGCCUUCCUUAAAAGGUGUACUUGCCUCAGCCACAGUUGUUGAUAAUUUGUUCUGUAGAAUAAGGUAAUUUAAUACCAUCAAAUACUUAAUAGGAGCACUGAGAACUGUUUUUAAUGUUAUUGUCUCAGUUGCUAAAAUUACUUUAACCCCACAUCACAGUAAGGAACAGAACCCCAAACAAGCCUAAAAGCCUAUUGCUGUUCUACAGUCAGUAUUUUGGUACUUCUUGUCUAUUACCAUUGUGUUAGUGUUACUAUCAUGCUCGUAGUUCUGCAGCUGGAAUCCUGGGUUCUUGAUACAUCUUUAGAGCAAUAACUCCUGCCUUUGUGUUAUUAAAAAUAAAGAUAUCUGAAACCA